CCCAGCUCCAAAUGCUAGAAAGUUUCUUUUAAAUAUUUGAUCCUCUUGUCUUUCUUCUGAAAACCGGUCUGGGUCGAACCGGUCCGGUUCAGUAAAACCCUGAAAAGAUGACUCGAAUGCUGACGGAAAAACUAUUGCACCUUUGGGAAUCGUGUAAGAUUCCGUCAACGGAAACGGCUCUGCCGCAACAUGCGGCACCAAAGUCGCUGGUGGUCGGUAACGAAUAACCUCACGCGCCACCGCUUGCGUGUACUUCAUCUCCCUUAACUGCUCCGAUGUUAUCAGUGUAUUCGACUCCGGCGACCAGAUUCCGGCGACUUCUUCUCUCACUCUGGCGAGAACCUCUGGAUGCGAAUCCAGCAAUGUCACCGCCCAAAGAAGCGACGAAGUCGACGCGUCUUGUGCUGCGAAGAGGAAAUCGAAGAGAUAACCACCGAUUUCAGCGUUGGUGGAGAACGGUGGCACUGUUACUCCGUUCAGCUUCGAUUCUUCAAUCUCUCUUAAAGUAUCCUGCAUCCAGAAAUCAAUGAGACACGAAGGCUCUUCACCUUUCUCCAUCUUCUCCUUACUUGCCGCCGUGCAACCCCCUAGGGUUCCGGCGAGUCGGUCAACGGCGAGUCUCGCGUUACGGAACGCAGUUCCCGGAAAGUCAAACGGAAGCUUCAUGAGACCAACAUUGAAGAGAAAGUAAUCAUGUUCAAAUCUCUCUCGGGCUUUGAGGCCCAAAUAAGGGCCCACAAAAACUGUCUGAGACGUUUCCAAAUUCAUAUCACGAGUAAGUACACGGAUUGGAAAAGACUCAUGGGCUUGAGCAUGGGAUUUGUGAAGCCAUGAUUUAAGAUGUUUGAGGAUAAUAAUCUGCUGUAGCUCGGUGUAUGUAGAAAGAGCCUUAGGAGUGAAAUUGGGCGCGAUUCGACGGCGGAGAUUCUUGUGUUCUUGGCCCAUCAUGUAGAUAAGAUUGUGUUCACCAAAGAGUUUCUUACCAAAAGGAUGGCCCACAAGAUGGAAAGCGUUGGGCUUUACAUUGGAGAAGACUUUAUGAGAGAGUUCAGUGUCUCUAAUGAAGACUAUAAAGAGUCCAAUGAUGUAGUUAGCUGAAAAACCUGCUGAUUUGGAUAAGGUGGAUUGAACUUCCCAAAAUUUGGUUGGGUCACGAACUAAUGAGAUAGCGUUUCCUAUGAAGGGGAGAACCAAAGAUGGGCCUGGGAUUGAACGUUUUUUGUUGAGGUAUGAGAUCUGUUCAAUGAGGAGAAGGAAAAGGAUGAAGCAUAUUAGGUAUGGGAUUAAUUGGUUGAAAGAGAAAGAGGAUAAUAAUAGAGGAGCAUUCAUGUUUGGUUUUUUGAUAAGGAGAGUGAAGGGAUUGUUGAACUUAAAAACUAAACAAAACAAGUGUUGUGUUGUUGUGAUAUGUAAUGCGAGGAUAGAAUAAAAUAGGUGGGAAAACUUUAAGGUCAAAAUUGAUGACUGUGUGUGGGUGUAGAACUUGAACUUGAUUAUUGACAAGUCAAAUAUGAGUUUUCAGAGGUGGUAGAGGCAGAACUUUAGAUGUUGUAGUAGCCAAGCUAAUCGAGAAGACGGUGAGGAUUGGGGAGAAGAAGAGGUGGUGGUGGCCUGAUGGGGUUAAAAUCCAGCUAGGUCAAGGCAGGCCAUUAAGUACAACACAUCGUAACCGACAAUAAUAUAGGACGUUUUCUUUUGGUAAAUUUUUUAAG
rnacentral:lncRNA from 1 species